CACAUGAAUUUUCUUAUUUCUCAUACUAGACAUGGAGCUUUGAAAUUGAAAUCUUCAUUGAGGGAGCUCCUGGUCUUUUUCCUCAUCUCUCCCUCUCCUCCCUGUAGGUGUCCUGUCUCCCUCAUAGACAAUUUACCAAGUGCCAGGCCACCUCUGGGGCUGGCUUGGGGCCCAGGUGUGAGUGUGUGGUCCAGCCAGUGGACAAGCUCUCUGCAUGGUUGACUAGUGAGUGUCCUUCCUUCCCAGGACAGGCCACCAGGACUUUUGAUGGGUCAGAGCUCAGGCUGGGUGUGGGACACAGCCAGAUCUCAUCAAAAAAACUGUUUUUUAUUUAAAAAAUAAUUAUAGGGCAGAGCUUGGCAUAUGGUAGGUACUCAAUAUUAUUUCCUGAAUGAAUAAAGAAUGAAUGGUCCAUUGGAUGGAAAGUCACAUUGGAUGGAGAGUGGCAUUUUGGUCACCAUGAUAAGUGAGGAAGUUGGUUUUUUAUAAUCCAGGAAGCCUUUGGAGCUAUCUUGAAAAUAUCACCUAUAUGACAGCCUACUUAGACUCUAGGUAAGGACAGUAGCCAAGGAAGAAAUAGGUCUGUCAUUCCCACGGUGGCUAUCAUUCAUAACAAGAGGUAUAUAUCACGUACUCCAAAAGAGAAAGAUACAGUGCUUUCAUUCACUGGAUUUCAUUCCAAGAAAAGAAGGUUGGUGAAACAACUCAGAAUAUUGGCUAGAACACACAUGUUACUUUUCAUUGAUCUGUGUGAUCAAUCAUUUCGAAGGAUUAGAUUUUCCUAUGAUUCAUUCUAUAUGCUAAUCUAUAAGAAUAGUUUCCUGAUCUCAAAAAGGGCGGGGAUGAAAGGACUGCCUGUUCCUCCCAUUUUUCUUAUAAAUGGGCAGAACUACCCUUCUUUUCAAUGCUCAGUGCUAUAUACAUCCUCCCUGAAUGCCUGGUCAAUUGAGAUGUAUGCACAGCAAAAGUGAAUUUCUUCCCAAUAGUGAGUGGAUUUGCUUCAUGAAGGUCACUAUCUGGCCUUGAGUUUAAUGGAUGCAGAUGUAGGAAACUGUGAAAGAAAAUAAAACAGCUCUCAUUAGAUGCAAGUGGCUGAAAUUUUUUCAUUACAGUAAUAGUAAAGUCAUAAGUCUGAUUAAGAAUUCACAUUGCAUAUUGGUUAGAUUUAAUUAUAAAAGGCAGUUUGUCACGUCACUGGCAAAUUUUAUACAAUAUCAUCACCAUCUGAAACUAUGAAAUGUUUGCCGUCUGUACCCCUGAAGGUGGAUGUCUAGUUCUUGCUGGUCACCAAGAGGAAUAUUAAUAUGCCAUCUCAUUGGAGAAGAAGGAAAAUGAAUUCUUGGGUAUGUGAUAUUAAGUAAUUAGACAAAUUAACUAUUUUGCUUUUCGUGGUUAACAAAGGCUCUCACGAAAAAUUUAACACUGAUAAGAGAUGUAAACAAUAAAAGCCCCCACACUCAUCCACUAAAAUGGUAAAAAAAGAAAAAAAGAGAGAGAGAGAUUACAGCAUUAAAUUCUGUUCUGUAGAAAAUAAGCUGCUCCAUUCAAGCUCCCUUUAGACCAUUCUGAUGGCCAAAGUCUCCAGGUUGCUCCUUCUAGCGCUGAUGCUGAUUGGGUUUAAACACUUGAAAGAGUUUGGCAGCUUGCAAAUGUGCUCUCUUUAUUCUAUUCUGUACACGCUCUCAAGGUGACCCUUCCAAUACACAGCUUUACUCUGUAUUGUUGCGGGUAGAGAAAGUGCCAUUAUCCUAGUGGGAAUAAGAAGGUACCACCGUUCUUUGCUAUAAAAACAAGCCAUUCCUGGAAAAAAUAUAUUUUCUUUCUGCUCUGCCAACUUAGCAUGUCAACAUGUUCAGUACAAUUAUCAUGUACAGUUUACUUGGGCCCCAGUUCUACCAAUAACAAUACCCGGAAGGUUUUUUUGCCUUGUUUUUUUGUUUGUUUGUUUCAUUUGAAGCUUGACAGGAAAACAUUCUGCUUCAGAAUGACUUAAAGAUGUACUAUGACGUGAAUUAUAUACAGGUUUCCCUAUACCUCCUUUUAUGAUUAUGAUGCAAUAAUAUUCUGAUAUUCAUUUUUAUUGUGUUUUAAGAGUAUUUCAAAUCUUAAUGAGUAACUAGUAAAAAUCCUUGGUCUGUUGGAACUGAAUCUUUUUUCAGACCUAAAUUUUUUCCCUUCUCUCCCUCUAGUCUGACUCCUCCCCCUUCUCCUCCUCCUCUCUUUCCUAUAUUCCCUCCCUUUUUUCUCCUCCUCCUCCUCUUUCUCCUUCUUUUCCUUCCUCUUUUCCUUCUUCUUUCCAAUUUAGUUAGAUGUGAUUUUACACACAACUACAUGUAUGUGCCUUGAGUAUAGGAUUUCUUGCACUGGUGUCUUUUUACUACCUUUUGUAGAGUAUCUAUCUAUCUAUCUACCUAUCU
ensembl:lncRNA